CCCUACCAUGUUUUAACGCUACUCAAGGUCUAUGGCUGGGAAAGGCCACUUGUUUUUCUUCAGUUAAUGCUGAGACUGUUUGUCUGCCAGAGACUCUCCAAAAUCAAGAAAAUAUUUCAAGGAAACGCCACAUGGAGAGAACAUGCAGGACAAGUGAUGAGAAUAAUCUUGUUCUGAAAAACCCCCUGAAGACAAGCUUGCUAACAGCUUGGAAACCUGGUUUCCAAACAGCACCUCUGACUGACUGUCUGGAAAUCAUCCUACCCUCUCUGAAUCUUGCAACAGGCGUCUCCAACUGACAUCUUUCACUGCAUCACGAGGCAGUAGCUCCUCUGAGUCACUUUCCAGCUGGGACUGGGUCUGCUCAGUCCAGCCACUCUGCCUCUCCCACCCCUGCUGCAGCACCACCAUUACCCACUUUUUACUUUUUUCUGAUUUCUGUAGAACAGCCUGGUCCCUCAUAGACUCGAAUUCUCUCACCACCAUGACACUGGGCUAGGCAAGCUCUCUCCUGGCCUGCAGCACCUUGGUAUUCUCAGCCUCACACUUGAGGGCAUUUUUAUUCUUUUCUGUGCAGUCAUUUUGUCCUUUCACUGGAACUUAUCUUCCCUGCUCCUCAAGUCAAGAGUGGUACCAUAAGAAAACCAUGCCUUGUUUCUGCCAGCCCCAGCUCUAAGCAACUCCCACCUGAACCGCUGCAAGAACCUCCCAACCAUCCUCUCCACACCUAGGCAUGCACUUUCUAAUCUAUUUUCUAUACCUCAGCUACAACCACAGCCACAGAACACAGCAGUUAAAGGUGCAGCCUUCAGAAUCACCCCAAGUUCUAGCUAUUUUGCUUCUUUGAGCCUUCCUAUCUGCAAAGUAGGGAUGAUCAUUAGAUUUACCUGGUUCAACGGUUGUGACUGCUAAAUGCAAUAAUGUGCAGGGUACUCAGCAAAGUUUCUACCACAGUGCAAGUGCUCCAUAUAUUUUACCUAUCAUUAUCAUCAUCUUCAACAUCAUUACCAUUGCAGACCCGGUGUGCUUAGAAUUGACCCAGCUUCUCCUGGCAACUGGACAGAGAACAGCAUGAACCAUCAUGGCUUCUUGCACCACACUUCGAAAAAGGAAGUAUUAUUGCUCCAAGAUCCUGCCCAUAAGACCCACACUGGCAUGUCAGUGAGACUGUGACCAUCAUUGUGGGCACCAUCAUAGCUGCAUAACAACAAUUGGCCAUUGGAUGGCACAAUAUGGCACAGAGAGCCACCUCUAGGGAGUCUGAAACCCCAUGUCCAUGAUGGAAGGUGAUUUUGAGAUGUGGGAAGAGCAAGCGGGUAUCAAUGAUGAGAUCUAGAAUAGGGCAGGCAAAACAAUUGCACGAACCCACAAACCUCCACAGUGUCUGUAAUGCGUAGUCCACUUUUGUGGCACUACAUUUUAUCUCAGAGAUACAACUAAUCUCAGUCUCUCCAUCUGCAAAGCUUCCUGAAUCCUUCUUUCCAGGAUGAAUAAAUUUCCCGGCAAAACAAGACCCAGGGGAAAGUUUUGAAUCCAUACAAUAAUAUAUCACUGCAUUUGCCACAAACUCUUGAUUCAACAGAACUGAUUUUGUGCGCUUAGUCCUUGCCCUGGGGAUAGAAUGUGAACAAGAGAGACAAGGGGCCUGCUCUCAUGGUCUUAGCCUUUAGAAAGAGAGAUAAUAAACAGGACCAAUGGCCCCCAAAAAACUUUUAGAGGCAGAGCUCUUAUGACUUUACUGUGCCAGAUGUCAUGCCAAGUCCAGGAACCAUGUCUCAGGGGAGGAAUCUUUUUACUGAAGGGGCAUGAAGAGGGGAAAGAACACUGGCCCUGGGUCCAGCAUUGUGUCAGCUGCUUCACAUCCAGCAUCUAAUGCAGUUGCCCCAUCUAAUGCUCAAGGUGUAAGGCUACCUCAGUUUCCCCAAUUAACAGAUGAGAGGGCCAAAGCUCCAAGUAGUUGGGCAGGUUGCCCAGGAUGGAUGCAUAUGUAGAAGAUGGAACAACCCAGAGUGGUGUGAUUCCAAACCAUGCAUUCUCCAUUGCAUCACAGUGAUCUUUAAGAUCACCAGCAGAGUGGAGUGAGACUUCAGGGUAAGAUCACAUCAAGAUAUCAAGUCCAGACAGGCCAACCCCACACCGUUCACAUGAUCUCUGAAACAACUUUUCAAGAGCAGCAUUGUGAAUUCAACUAGACACUCUUCCAUCAAGCAAGGAUGGAAAACUCCAAAUGACUGCAAGACAAGAGCUCCUAGCAAACACAGAAUUCCAGGGCAGAUUCUUCUUUUGAAGCUUCUGUGAAUGAAAUCUCAUAAUCAGAGCUUCACUGCAGCAGAUAAAUGGGCCAGCGCCUGAGCUCAAAUGCACGGAAGCAAGGAAGGCCCACCCUGCCUGUCUCCCACCUCUCUCAGUGAAACCUUCCCAGGAGGCUGCCAGAAAGGCUUCAGAUGCUUGGGGAAGCAGUCAAAUAUUUCAGCAGCCAAGUCUCUGUCAUCCUCCUGCCUCUCACUGACUCUCAGAUGAUGCCCAUAGUGAAUGGAGCUGUUGAGAAAGCCAGAAAGGAACUGAGGAUGUGACAAAUAGAUUCUUGCAUAAAACAAACAACAAAAAUUUUAUGGGUGCAUUGAACGCCAGGAUUCUCAAAAAUAGAAGUGCCUUGGAUCUCUGUCAACCUCUAAGUGGUCCCAUGGGAGCGUGCCUCUCCUUCUUCCUCUCAAUUGCAUUCCCUAGCAUCUGUCUCCUGUGAGAUAUGCUUCCCAUCUCUGGCAUUCUACUCUACUUCAUCCUGUGUGCGACCUCCCCAGAACUGUGGAAUGGAGUUCCAAGACACAGAGUAGAGACGGGGUUUCACUGUGUUAGCCAGGAUGAGGAUGGUCUCAAUCUCCUGACCUCGUGAUCCACCCACCUCGGCCUCCCAAAGUGCUGGGAUUACAGAUCCGCACUCUGUAUUGGGAAUGAACCACCUACUUCUCCUACUGCUUGGCUUGAUGUUACGACUCUGUGAUCUUCCCC